CUAUCUUAAAAGCCCUCUUUUUAAAAAUGCAACCAUGCCUCCUGUCUGUAAAGUCUUUGCUUUAUUAUACUUUUUUUUCUACCUGAUAUCUGUGAAGACAGAUGAAGAACAAAAUUAAAUAUGUGUUGGAUACGAGGAUUGGGAGCAAGGGCUUUCCUGUGAGCAGGGAAAAGCUUUGCAAACAAUGCCUGGUGCAUCCUCACGGCAGCAAAUCCAGCUGUGAGGAGGCAGAGCGCUCAUCACUGAUCCUAACUCCUCAGCCAGUAACUCACACCUGUGCCCCAGUAGCUG
rnacentral:lncRNA from 1 species